rnacentral:tRNA from 1 species
GGUAGUAUGGCCGAGUGGCCUAAAGCGCUGGAUUAAGGCUCCAGUCUCUUUACGGGCACGGGUUUGAAUCCCACCGCUGCCA